UCAAUCCCAAGAUAUUAGCUUAAAUGUAGUUAUAGUCUCUAUUUUCUAAGAUGUUAUCUGUGAUAAUAACACUGACACCACGACGCCUUUUAUUCUGAUAUAUGUGGGGGGAAAUUCUGUGUUCAUUGUGUGAAAUCAAGAAGUUAUUAAACAAAGUCUCUUACUCUUAAAAGAUGCCUAAAGCAGAAAUGUGCCAUUUUCUGUCAAGUACAACUCAACUGAUAGUUCCUCUCCAUUCUGCACAAACGCCUCUUUUAAAAUGAUCCGAUUCCCCAGCUACCUCAUCUUCUCUGGUCAGGCAGGAGUCAUUAACAGAGAAGACUGGCCUCUUACCUUCCCUCUGCCAGAAGCAGCAGCAGUAACGGCGUGAUUCUCUCAUAUGCACCAGUUCAGUGCUCCAUAAAACGUAUGAACUAUGCUGUCGAGACUAAUGGUGCCUAGAGUAAAAUAAAAUGAAAUGAGAUCAAUUAACUUUGAACACACGGAUGAAGCCUUGAGGAUAAUGGAAUGGAACACAUUCUCACCUUUUUUACAAUUCAGCUUUUGAGAUAACAAGGGAAGAAGAUGAGAUGGAAUUCUCAACACCCCCAAGGUCUGGGAAUCCCUGCCUUUUUCCCAGGGCCAGUUUUCUGAGCUAACGGACAUCUUACGCUGUCAUCGGUGCAUCCUGACAAGCUUCUUUGAAGUCGAAGACAAGCCAAGAAAUAGUGCGUGUGGAAUAACUGCUUCAAGCUGAGGGUCCUGCACCCCUGCCCGGGAGAUGAAGAAAAGGAGGAAGGAGCAGGCUGGUGAACAGAGAUGAGAGCUCCAACCAUGCCGGGCGAGACUCUCUGGUGGGGCCCCUGACGGCAGCCAGGCAAAGGAAUUCUGUGCCAGGGCUCUGAGUCCCAGGUUAAUGUCAAGUGCCGGGUUUUCUUUUAGUUACUCAAGGAUCAAAGGGAAAUUAUUCAAUAAAAAGGAACUUAAAGGGGACUUCUGGGCUGACACAAACCUUAAUCAAAAAUACUUGUUCAAAUGCAGCUUCAUUGACCUACUUUUUCAUAUUGUCUUUCCAGUUCUUACACACAUUUGUGAUUAAAAUAAG